UACUCAGGAAGGCAUCGUUCACAUAACGUAGAUAAAUAUAUGAAUGGCACCUUUCUGAGUAGU
rnacentral:pre_miRNA from 1 species